rnacentral:rRNA from 1 species
UGGGGAAUAUUGCACAAUGGGCGCAAGCCUGAUGCAGCCAUGCCGCGUGUGUGAAGAAGGCCUUCGGGUUGUAAAGCACUUUCAGCGGGGAGGAAGGCGGUGAGGUUAAUAACCUCAUCGAUUGACGUUACCCGCAGAAGAAGCACCGGCUAACUCCGUGCCAGCAGCCGCGGUAAUACGGAGGGUGCAAGCGUUAAUCGGAAUUACUGGGCGUAAAGCGCACGCAGGCGGUUGAUUGAGUCAGAUGUGAAAUCCCCGGGCUUAACCCGGGAAUUGCAUCUGAUACUGGUCAGCUAGAGUCUUGUAGAGGGGGGUAGAAUUCCAUGUGUAGCGGUGAAAUGCGUAGAGAUGUGGAGGAAUACCAGUGGCGAAGGCGGCCCCCUGGACAAAGACUGACGCUCAGGUGCGAAAGAGUGGGGAGCAAACAGG